rnacentral:rRNA from 1 species
AGUGAACGCUGGCGGCGUGCCUAACACAUGCAAGUCGAACGAUGAUGGAGAGCUUGCUCUCCUGAUUAGUGGCGCACGGGUGAGUAUACCAUAGAUAAUGUACCUCUUAGUUCGGGAUAGCCACUGGAAACGGUGAUUAAUACCGGAUACUCCUUCUUGUCUUAAGGCGAGUCGGGAAAGUUUUUUCGCUAAGAGAUCAGUCUAUGUCCUAUCAGCUAGUUGGUGAGGUAAUGGCUCACCAAGGCUAUGACGGGUAUCUGGUUUGAGAGGAUGAUCAGACACACUGGAACUGAGACACGGUCCAGACUCCUACGGGAGGCAGCAGUGAGGAAUAUUGCACAAUGGAGGAAACUCUGAUGCAGCAACGCCGCGUGGAGGAUGACGCAUUUCGGUGUGUAAACUCCUUUUAAGAGGGAAGAUUAUGACGGUACCUCUCGAAUAAGCACCGGCUAACUCCGUGCCAGCCGCCGCGGUAA